rnacentral:rRNA from 1 species
CCUACGGGAGGCAGCAGUGAGGAAUAUUGGUCAAUGGGCGGAAGCCUGAACCAGCCAAGUAGCGUGCAGGAUGACGGCCCUACGGGUUGUAAACUGCUUUUAUACGGGAAUAACGCGCCUUACGUGUAGGGCAUUGCAUGUACCGGAUGAAUAAGGACCGGCUAAUUCCGUGCCAGCAGCCGCGGUAAUACGGAAGGUGCGGGUGUUGUCCGGAUUUAUUGGGUUUAAAGGGAGCGUAGGCCGCAUGUCAAGCGUGCUGUAAAAUGUCCGGGCUCAACCCGGGCCUUGCAGAGAGAACUGGCGUGCUUGAGUCCGCGGAAAGGAGGCGGAAUUCGUCGUGUGGCGUUGAAAGGCU